rnacentral:rRNA from 1 species
GACGAACGCUGGCGGCGUGCUUAACACAUGCAAGUCGAACGGAAAGGCCCUGCUUGCCGGGUACUCGAGUGGCGAACGGGUGAGUAACACGUGGGUGAUCUGCCCUGCACUUCGGGAUAAGCCUGGGAAACUGGGUCUAAUACCGGAUAGGAGCCAUUUUUAGUGUGAUGGUUGGAAAGUUUUUUCGGUGUAGGAUGAGCUCGCGGCCUAUCAGCUUGUUGGUGGGGUAAUGGCCUACCAAGGCGGCGACGGGUAGCCGGCCUGAGAGGGUGGACGGCCACAUUGGGACUGAGAUACGGCCCAGACUCCUACGGGAGGCAGCAGUGGGGAAUAUUGCACAAUGGGCGCAAGCCUGAUGCAGCGACGCCGCGUGGGGGAUAACGGCCUUCGGGUUGUAAACUCCUUUCGCUAGGGACGAAGCUUUUUGUGACGGUACCUAGAUAAGAAGCACCGGCUAACUACGUG